rnacentral:rRNA from 1 species
UCGGAAAUGAAGAUUUUGUGACUGAGUGGCGGACGGGUGAAUGACGCGUGGGUAACCUGCCUCAUACUGGGGGAUAACAGUUGGAAACGACUGCUAAUACCGCAUAAGCGCACAGGAUUGCAUGAUCCGGUGUGAAAAACUCCGGUGGUAUGAGAUGGACCCGCGUCUGAUUAGCCAGUUGGCAUGGUAACGGCCUACCAAAGCGACUAUCAGUAUUCGACCUGAGAGGGUGACCGGCCACAUUGGGACUGACACACGGCCCAUACUCCUACGGGAGGCAUCAGUGGGGAAUAUUGCACAAUGGGGGAAACCCUGAUGCAGUGACGCCG